UAAAGCACUAAACGGUGUAAGGAAUAGGCA
rnacentral:piRNA from 1 species